UUAACUCAUGUUUGUAGGUAUGGAAUGGGAUCGUUUGCGUACGUUUGCCGCUAGGGGCGCUGUUCCAACUGCAUACAAAAUUGAGUUA
rnacentral:pre_miRNA from 1 species